GGAGCUAUAGGGAACUGCAACCCUAUAGGUGCAACAACAUUAUGAACUAACCAGUACCCCGGAGCUCUUGACUCUAGCUGCAUAUGUAUCUCAGGCCCCUUUCUAAUGUGCAUGUCUUUACAUUUUGUUUUAUGAUCCACUGAGUUAUCCAAGUCCAUGUGUGUGAUCAGGAAUACAGAACUAUCUGUUUGAUCCUAGUGGUCCCACAGGUGGAUGCACACCUGAAUGGAACUGUAAAUAAUUAUUCAAUGGGAAAGGAGAGGAUCCAUUGAGUCUCUCUUCCAUCGCUGUCUGAUUACUGAUAAGUUCUACCUUGUCCAGGAAAAUGUACCUGCUGUAGGUUCACGGUUGUUGUGGCUCUUUUGUACCCUGAAGAUAAGGUCUUCCAGGCCUUACCCUUAUCUCUCUACUCGUAUACCCCUUUUCCUACCAUUCUAUAAUAAACCCUAAGUCUUAGACACUGUACACUUAAC
rnacentral:lncRNA from 1 species